GCCAAAACAUCUGGGGGGACACAGGUUGAGAAUCACUGCACUAAAGUUUGGGAAGGUCAUCUAAAGGAGGACUUCCUUAAUGUUUUCCAUUUAUGACCUCUUUGCUCCUGAUAAUUUUUUUACGCAAUCCCAGGUUUAUAGGUAUAUUAAAAAGAUAUAAAAAUGAAACAUCUCUGCAGAAGAUGCUUCAGCUAUACUCCAUGAAAAGGAAAAGCAGUCUGCUUAGCAAGCCUUCCAAAUGCCGAUGUAUUAUCAGUAAAUGUUUGAUUUCAUACCUCUUUUAUAUAUUCUUGGGCAAAAAAGGAUUUCAAGUUGAAAAGGUUUUAAGAAGCUCUGAGCUAGAUCACAUGUAUCAAACUCAAGGUCCAUGAGCUUAAUCUGGCCUGCCAUGUCACUUUAUGUGGCCCUCCAGAUGCCAGACCACAAGUCCUGUACUCCUCAUCAUUAGACAUCAUGACUAGAGCUGAUGGGAGUUAUGGUACAGUAACACCUGGAAGGGUACAGUUUGUUUUGUGUAGUCAGGGCAGUGGGGUUUGAAUUUAAAUACAAGGCUCGUGGAUAAGAUCUGGAGACCAUGCCCUAGGAGGAGCAUCUUAAAUAACUGGGUAUGUUUAGCCUGCAGAAGAGAAGGUUGAGAGGAGACAUGAUAGCCUUGUAUAAAUAUGUGAAAGGGAGUCAUCAAGAAGAGGGAGCAGGUUUGUUUUCUGCUGCCCUUGAAACUAGGACUCAGAGCAAUGGGUUCAAAUUGCAGGAAAGGAGAUUCCACCUGAACAUUAGGAAGAAUUUCCUGGCUGUAGGAGCUGUUCAGCAAUGGAACUCUUUGACUCGGAGUGUGGUGGAAGCUCCUUCCAUGGAAACUUUUAAACAGAGCCUGGAUGGCUAUCUGUCAAGGAUACUUUGUGCUUUUCUUGCAUGGUAGGGGGUUGGACUAGAUGGCCCAUGUGGUCUCUUCUAACUUUAUUCCAUGAUAUGAUGUCUGCAUUAAAAAUAUCCUUCAACCUUUUUAUAGAACUACAUUUAACUAUAUGUGUUUACAAAAUUUUAGCAAUGUUUGUGUGUUUGGACUGCUGUGACCUGCCUUGAGCCACGAGGAGAGGCGAGGAAGAAAUACGAUUAUCAUUAUCAUUAAUUAAUAACAUUAACCUUUCACCCACAGAGACGCAAGUGCUGUUAGGUUGUAAUUCUCAUUAUCCCCAGGCUGCAUAGUGCAUAAUCAAAAAUUAUGGGAGUUGUCAUUCAAUAACAUCUGAGGAUUCAAACUGGGGGGAAACUAAAAAGCACCGACAACUAUGUUAAAAAGAUUACAGUCGACCUUUUGUAUCCACAGAUUCUCCAUCCACAGAUUCAAUGGCCCUUUGAAGACAACCAUAAGGCUGGUGUGGUUCUUGGUGAAAAUUAAUUAUACACUACUGAGCUAGAUGUUUGGCAGUGGGGAGCUUUUUUCCCCUGUGUCAGGAUAAACUGCAAGUCGCUUCUGGUGUGAGAGAAUUGGCCGUCUGCAAGGACGUUGCCCAGGGGGCACCCGGAUGUUUUGAUGUUUUUACCAUCCUUGUGGGGGGACUUCUCUCAUGUCCCCACAUGGAGCUGGAACUGAUAGACGGAGCUCAUCCGCGCUCUCCCAGGAAUGGAUUCGAACCAGCACCCUUCAGGUCAGCAACCUGACAGUCCUUCAAGUCAGCAGUCCUGUCGGUACAAGAAUUUAACCCACUGCGCCACCGGGGGCUCUGCAGGGGAGCUGCCAUAGUUAUUGCCUUCCAAGAUUGAAAGAGGUUGUGAGUGGAAAAAUUUAGAUCAAUUUAGAUCAACCUUUUGUCCUCCAAAAGUCUGAGGUUGCAGGUCACAGAAUUCCUGUAGGCUGGCAAUAUUGGCUGAAACUCCUGGCCAUCAAGGUCCAAACCACAGGGACCUAGGUGGCUAUCAAGUGAUGUAGGUUUCUGAUAUUCUGCAGUGUUGUAUAAAUUGACUCAUUUAUUUGAGCCAUCUACAUCUACAAUACCAGUUGUAUGCUGCAUUUAUGACAUAAUACCUAGGUGAUGGCGUAUGUCCACAGGGGUCUGUUGGGUAGUGUGCACCCAUGGCAACACCAUUGUCUUCCAUCCAUCCCAGCUGAGCAAAUUAUUGCAGUCCUUUCCUUGAAAGGGGAUGUAUCAGACCCUGGAGUCAGCAACUCGACUCCUGUGCAAUAGCACCUCCUGGUGUGCAUAUCUGGAGAAGCAGCAGGGAGAGAAAGAACAGUGUAGGGAAGAAGAUAAACUGUGUGAGCAAAGCCCAUUCUUCAUGGGCUUGGGCUUGAUUGUUUUAAUAGUAAACCUCCUGACUGGUCCUGAGAAGAAGGAAGAAGACAUAUUUUGAACAAUAUCUCACACAAGCCGACUUCAUUGUGCUCCUUUCAGAGUGAAGCCUACCAUUGAGAGACAGCAAGGCUCUGUUCUUUGAGAGUGAAACUAUCCCAAUUUUGUGCCUGGAAAACCUUAGACCACAAGACUGGGCAAACAUAAAGAAAGAGCCUUAUUUGAAUCAUGGCUGCUCCUCAGCAAGGAAUAAAAGAUGACAUGGGCCUUUGCAAUCCAUCUGAAGCCCCACCAUCCUUGUUAACCGGCUGUUUGAGAGAAGAACUUGAAUGAUAGCAUUGCGCUCAGUCAUGAGCAAAACUUAGUGGCAGAUGGGGGAGGAAGGUGAAAGGAUGAAGAGGAAGAAGAAGCAUGCUGCAGACGGCCUCUCUGUUUUUCUGAAUGCACAUAAUGGAUUGAAGAAGAAGAGAAGAUGUAUAGAAGCAGCCUAAAGAUGCUGCUAUUCUCUUUCCGCUUGCCACCCCACACACCCCUCUUAUGGACCCCAUCGGAGACACCAAGCGGACGGAUCAACAUGCAAUUAAAAAUCUCCGUUUGAUCCCUCAGGGAGUGGAAUUUGCUGCAGCCAAGGCAGCCUGGCUCUCUCUACCAGAAUCUUGCCCAGGUGCAAGCACUACCCUGGUGCACCUGCUGCUGCCUCAAUCGCCCUGCCACACAUGCCCAUGGGAGGGGAAAUUGGUGUGUGUUUGUGUUUUGAGGUGGGGGAGAGGAGGUAACAAAAACCACACAAAGUACAAGAGAAACACCAUCUGUGCUGGGAGGGAUGAGCAAAGCUCACGACAUUCCCUCAAAAAAUAGUCUGGAGCCGUGAUUUGGCCACGCGGGAAGAGGGAGAGACAGACCAAACGUAUGAAAAGAGGUAAGAGAGGAACCUUUGGCAGUCGCGAAUCAGUGAAUUAUUAAGAUCAAAUUAGUUCCAUUUAUCAACUCGCCCAGCUGAGAUGCUGCUCGCAAGCGGUGCUUGUCCCUGGCCGAGCCUCCUCACCGCAUCUGUGGCUGGUUGUGGUUUAAUACAGAUGCCAAACUCGUAAUUCUAACGAAGGGUGACAGGGUCACCUUGAAUCCCAGAUGCUCACAUUCUGACAGAUGGCGCUGGCAAACCUGAUUAGCUGCCACCGUGCCAGCUCCAAUGCCACCUGCAUCCCUCCCUAGCUUCACCAUCUCCCAUUCCCCUUCCAUUACAAUACUCAUACCCCACUCUGGUUUUUUGCUUCCCCCAAAGUAGUAAUUAUCCAGCCACUUCAGAGGCAGGACAGAGAGCAAGGGAGAGGCUCAGUCAUGGAGGACUUCCAAGGCCACAGGCGGGAACUGGUGGGAGAAACUAAGAAGAAAGCCAGGACAAACAGGACUGAAAGCGGGGACUACUGCUCAUGUAGGAUAUUGAAGACAGGCAUUCCUCUUUGUUGUGUGUGUGCAUGCAAGAUAUUGAAAGGGUCUAGAUUAGAUAGACAGACAGAACCCAAUCAGUAGAUUUAAAAGCUUUUGCAGAGAACUGGAAAGAAUAAUCACCUAGCUGAGUUCUAUAUAGAGUCCCAUAAAAUGUGUCCUAUGUCUUUAAUACAAGCAAAGCAAAAAAACAGCAUUCUGCACAUUAAAUUACUAUACCUUUAAAUUUUUGCCAAAAUCUAGAUAUAGUAUUCCCUUUGCAUGGUACAUAAAAAGAUAUCAAGAAAGCAGAGCAAUAAUAUUUAAACAAGUUCCCUAUUUACACAAUUAUGAAGACGACUUCUUGAAAAAUGUACUGUUUUCAACACAAGAACACAAGAACAAGACAGUUCUCAUUUGUAAAAUGUUAAGGGCUUUUCCAGUUAGGUCAAAUGUGCCAGGAGACUGUGGUAUUUGUCACUAUAGUUCUCUCAUUCAUUCAUAUAUCUAUACACAUACACAUACACACACACACACACACACACACACACACAUAUAUACAUACACACAUACAUACACACAUAUACAUACAUACAUACAUACAUGGACAAUUUUCUGGCAAUUUCUGGCACCCACUGUAUUAUUUUACCUCUAUCAUCUAGCAUGUUAUAUAUAUUGGAAGGGGAAAAUACUUUUCUCUUCUCUUUCUUCUCUCUUUUAAAAAAAUCUUGGACCAGGAGCAUUAUCAUACCACAAUUCAAAGAAGCAGAAAAAGAAAAUUAUGUUUGUGGUAUAAACUCUGGAGGAAGCCUUGUAAUAGGGGUGAAUAUAGUGUAGGAAAUAGCUUGUGAUGAGGGACUUCAGUAAGUUCAAAUAUUGUACUACAUGUAAAUUUUCAGUUUCUUCAAGAUAUUUGAAAAGUUACAAUUUCUACAUAUGCUAUACAAACAUACAAUAGCAACAAUAGUAACAACAAAACAGACAGAAAUACUUUGUAAUUCCUGAUGAAUGAGAAGCUAAACAAAAUAUACAACUCACAGUUCAUUAACUUACCCAUAAAUAAAUUUAUAAAUUUUAGCCAAAACCCCCCCAAAACCCAACCGCAAAAAGCUGGGCCAAUUUUACUAUCCAUGGAUCAAUGUACUAUACCUUCUAGCACCUAAAAGAAGCACCAGCACCUCUACGCUUUCCAUUGUGGUGCCUUUUUAAAUAGCUGUGACUGUGCAAUACAGGAUCAAACAGUAACUCAACUUUUAUGCAGGUGGCUUUGAAGACACACACAAAACUUCCUACUAGGAGUUGUCACUAAGUGAACACUAUAAUAAAAUAACUGUGACUGCACACCUGCAAGUGUGCCACUUUAUUCAGGCAAUAUUGAUGCUUUCCCCUCAACUUGUUCAUGAGUCAUAAUACAAUCCAUAAUUUAGGCUGCAAAAUCUGUCCUCAACUUAUUCUUGAUGUUUACUUAUACAUGCGUAUAGGCAUUAAGCAAAAAUACUUUAGUUGGCAAAAAUCUCAAAAACUUAAAUGCUGUAUUCUAUUCAACGAAGAAAAAUAAUAGAGUUUACUAAUCAAACAGAAAGAUAUACUAACUUAAUCUUAGAUGUGUUUUGUAUGUACCGUAAACAACAAUUUGGCUUUUACAGAAUGUUACACCUUUUAAUUGAUGAAGGUUCUUUUCUGGGAGCCAGAACUGUGUUCCACAGGAAACUUUAAAAUAUUCAAAAUGUUAUAUGGUCUAUUUCUGGUAUUUCUAAAUAUUCUGAAACCGAGGGGAAACUGUGGCCCUCCUGAGGUUUCUCCCCACAACGUCCAUCAGUCUUUGCAACUGGAGCCAUCAUCAGUGGUAAGAGACCAUGGAAGCUGCUGUCUGAAAAUGUCUAAAGGACCACUGUGGUCCACUUCUGCUCUAAAACAACUUGCAGUAUAGGGACUAGUGAUAAUAAAGUCUACCUAUUAUAUCCAUAAUGCAAUGUCCUAUUUAAUUGCACAUCCCCUGUGUUUGAUUUAAACACAUACAGAUUUGUAUACAUCAUUCAUGAGUCUCAAGGAAUCCAAAUGAAUUAACAAAACAAAUCUGAAACACUACUCACUUAAUUCAGUCUUUCCGGCUUUCCCUUGCUUUAUCAGGACAGGCUAAAUCUCUAUUUGGUCCAUGCUCAUUUGCUCAAGUUAUACAAAAAAAAGUCCCAGACUUUUAAAAAAAACAACAACACACACACACACACACACACACACACCCAUCUUACACUUUUCCAGUGAUCCCUGAAACUCAGCAAAUGUAUUAGGAGGUUCCAGUAUAUGACAUUUCCCAGACAAUUGGAUGACAAUUGUUUCCCACCCCUGAUUAGUUUCUUUUUAGUUCUGAGACGCAUCUGGAAAAUAUGUACUUUUCUAUUUUCAUGUUUUUCACAAUUUUAAUGGUUUAGUGCAUUAGUGAAAUAGUACUUUUGCACUAUAACUAUGACUAGAUCUUUCUUUAAUUCAGAGUUGAAAUUAUAUUUUUCCCACAAAUAAUAAAACCUUGGAAGAACUCUAGAACAAGCCCAAUAAACCAACACAAAAAAGUCCUCCAAAGAGAACAGAAAGGUAACAACAACCAGCAAAAUGUCUAGAGUCAAAUUGUGAGAACUUACACUGUUUUAGACCAAUCUGGAAAAGUUCCCAAGACCUUCAGAGUAUUCCAUUUUUAAAGUUAAUAAACAUCAAUGCUGAGCAUGCAAUAUGAUUUCUGUAUUCUAUUGAAUGUAGGCAAGGACAGUGUAGGUAAGGAAACUUUUAAGUCCCAGCAUAAUUUUGAGGAUAGAACUGCUGUUCCCAUAUACGUAAACAGAUAUUUAGACUAUGCCUAAAUACCCUAAGGGCAUCAGAACAUGACUGAUCUUGGAUGUAAAGAGGGGUUGACACCAAGAAGACCACCAAGAAAUACUAGAUGACCGCCACGGAAUACUAAGCACUGUAGGUUAUAUUUCAGAGGACAAAUCUGGCAAACCAUCUUGAAUAUUCCUUAGCUGCUAAAAAUUCACGGAGUCAGCAUAAGGUGGCAGGUGACAUGAAUGCACAGCCCACAUACAAGAGACACAUUGAAAGUAACGCAAUAAUAGCAAUAUAUUUAUUAUCAGAAUAAUUUCUGGAAAUCAUCCAGAAGGCCAUGAGACUGAAAGGUGACGUGCAGAAUCUACAUGGAAUUGAAACUUUAAAACUGCCCAGAUAUGUAGAUCUUUACAGUGGCUAAGCACAUCGAUGUGAUCAUAUGCUUUUGCCUUUGUUGAUCUCUGCAUUUUAAGGGACCUCAUUACAUGAAAGUCCUGAACUGAUGCUGAAGUGUAGAAAAAUGCGGAAACUGCUCCAAAAGCCUGGCAUUGCCAUUCAAGAUAUCACCAUUUUGUCUUUCUUGUCAUUUCUCCUUCAUUGUAAUUAUGGCUUCAGAAGUUGCACCACUGCUAGCUUUUUAACUUUGUUAAAAUGGCGCUCCAUGCAGUCAUGCCGGCCACAUGACCUUGGAGGUGUCUAUGGACAACACCGGCUCUUCGGCUUAGAAAUGGAGAUGAGCACCAACCCCCAGGGUCGGUCACGACUGGACUUAACAUCAGGGGAAAACCUUUACCUUACCUUUUCACAGUAGGUUCUAGUGCCUAGAAGUUUUUGGACUUCCAUAAUUGAGAGUAAGGAGAUUGGGAAGGAAAGGAGUCCAAAAAAGUGGCAUCUGCCUUAAGAAUGAUGCCUUCUAUCUCCUUGAGAGUAAGGAGAUUGGUUGGGAAAGGAGAGAAGGCCAGAAAAGUGAUGCCUACUGUCUCCUCUUUGGAUGGUUGAGCUAGAGGCAGGAGGAGGUGCUCCUGUGUGAUGGGGUAAGUAAAUUCUCUGUCUUCUUUAAAGACAGGAUCCCAUGCAAAGAAGAUAAUUCUACACACAAAGACUAUUUCCCUGGCUUUUCCCCAUAUUCCCCAGCUCCGUUUGAUGAAGUCCUAAGUGUGUGUAACUGAAAUUCAAAUCAGAGAAGGAGUUGAACCACACUGAACCACAAACACAGUGUAGUGAAAUACAGUUGUGAUUCUGUCCUAAGGCGGCCAAAGGAAUCCUAGAUUGCCCCUAAAUACAUGCUAUUAUGGGCAAUAUGUCAAUACACAUGCAGAUAAAGGAUGUGACAGGAUCAGGAGCAGCAUUUCAUCCCCCUAGCCUCUCCUAUUUUUAGGAGAGUUCAAAGCCAGCACUCAGGGAGAUUAAUGGAUCAAACAGUCCCAUCAGCUGCUGUUCCUAAACAGUUGUGGGAUGAUGCAAGAUGGCGCAAAUGCUUCUAGAGCAUGGCUCAUGGCCCAAAUAGAGCUACCCAUCCACCUUAUCCACUGUAGUGACGUCUCCGUUGCCAGGCAUCUUAGGCAAAACAGGAGAGCAGGCUCUUCUGCCCGGUGUCCAGGACAAACCUUAUCCUGAGUGUAUUAUUCAAAUGCAGAAAUAAACCAGUGUGGUAUAUGGCAUUGUCAUGUGUGGUGUCUAGGACUUUCAGUUCUGCCCUCUCUUAUAAAAGAUACUCAUUUUUGGUCCAUAUAGAUAAGGGGAAACAGAUGAUUUUUCAUGUCACCCUUCCCAAAUUAUCAGUUCUCAAAAUCGAUUUAUAUUGCACAUUUCAGAAAUAUAAUUCAAGCACUUGGCUUCCUGGAUUUUGAGGGCAAUGAGUAAAAAUAAUAUACUGUAUCUGAAGGAGAAAGCUCUGAGGAUGCCUGCCAUAGAUGUGGGCGAAACGUCAGGAAAGAAUACUUCUGGAACAUGGCCAUACUGUCCAGAAAACAUACAACAACCCUGUGAUCCUGGCCAUGAAAGCCUUUGACAACACGUUCAAGAUAAAUGCAGCCAUGGGGCCAUAUCUCUCAACUGGAUAUUGUAGUCGAGAUUUCUGUUUAUUGUCGUUUUUAGUUCUAAAAGAUUUGCUACUUGAUCCCAGCUAUAUCUACCUGGAAGCAAUUCACAGUAUUUGCUGGGCUAUACAACAGAGGGCUGAUGUCUACAGUCAAUUGUGGUGCUGGCUUGAUUAAUUUUUUCCUUACAAUACAUCAAUUGUUCCUACAAAAGCUCUUAGUUGAUUGGAUCCAGAAACAAAAGCUCUCAGUUGAUUGGAUCCAGGAUAUCUGAAAGAGUGGAACAUUCCUGGAAUUGGAUAACUUUAGCUCUUUGCAUGACUAACCAACCUUGUAGGCUUUUUUAAAAAAAUCGUGUCAAAAGCGAUUUGCAAGUUCCUUCUGGUGUGAGAGAAUUGGUCAUCUACAGAUGACCAUCUAUGAAACAUUGGGAUUUGUAAUUUCACUGACAGAGAAAGGUACAUAUAUCACAAAGCUACAAAUCCCAGGAUUCCAUACAGCAUAGAGCAACUUGUAAAUUUUGUUGGAAGCAGUAAGCGGUAUAGUUAGCACAAAUGAAGUAAUGUCCUGAAUAGUGACUGUCUCAAAACCUUCCCUUAGAAAUGGAGGAGUGGGGGAAGUGGGGGGAGAUUUAUUUUGCAAGAGGAUGAUAUUCUGAGGUCUGUUCUAGAUUGACCUAAUGGAGGACAUCUUCUCAUGAUACAGCUCCAUGAAUUUUGCCAGUUGUGGGUGCCUCUGUGUCAACUCAUUGAAUGAGAAGGAAAAUGUAAUGGUCAUUGGACUUGAUUAAUCUUGCCAGCCUCUCUGUUGCAUCAUUAGACACAGCAUAUCCCUCAAAACCCCUUCUUAGGACUGUACAUCACUGAUUCUGUUCCUCUCAAGAAGAAAUCUCUCACCAUCACAAGUCCCUUCUUUCUCUGAUAACUGGAAGGAGCUUUUCCAUCCAGGGAAGUUUCCCAGGUCAUAUCCAUGCUUUUUGAGUAAUGGACUGCUCCUCAUCAUAGCUGGGUAAAGGUGGUGCUUGGAAGCAAUUGUCGACCUCCAAGCUUUUUUCAUAGUUUUGCUUCUGUGUGUUCCAUUUUCUCAAGUUUCUGCCUCCUGUGUUUGGGAAUUCUCCCUUUUCCUGGAGGCAUCCCUUAUGCCUUAGGACUUUUCUACACUGCCAGAUAAUCCAGAUUAUCAAAGCAGACAUUCUAGAUUUUAUAUGGAAGUCUAGGAGGGGCCUUAUGCAGCAACUAUAUAGACACAAUUGCAGCUAGCUCUGCCCACAACCAAGUCAGGGCUGUGAAAGACAAAGGGGACAUAUCAGCCUUCCAGGAAAACCUCAAGGGCUGAGCCUUUUGCAUCACCUCCUGCAAGAAAAAAAAUCAAUGUUUUUGCCACAAAAUGCUUCCGAGCACCCUCUAGGAAAUGGGAGAGCAUAUUUUAGGGCUUUCCCAGAGGGUAUUUUCAAGCAAAAAUAUUUGAAAUGUUUUGCAAAUUUGCACAUUGGCCUCUGUGCGGAAGGGGGGGUCCCAGGGGAACUUCAAACAGUGGAAAUUCUCUCAAUGUCCCCUAGAGAUCAUUGGCAGAAUUCUGGAGCAUUUUGUAACCCACUGCAAACCUGGAGAUUCCCCAAAAUAGCCCUGGGACCACAUGCAAUCUGUAAGUCACACUUUGCCCAUCACUGGCUUAGACAUAUUUUCAGGAAGACAUCAUGGUUCAGUAUACAUAACUAAACACAAAGAAAAGUAUCCAAAUAGCAUGGCCAAACAAUCAAUCUUGACCCCCAAAAUCAUAAGGUAGCCUUCUUCUUCUGGGUACAUUUUAAAAAGGAAAACUAUGUAACAAAUCUUGCAACCUGAAGAAUUUUAUGCCCCAGAAUAUUUAGUACCUUCUGGUAUUUCCUUUAGAAGAGAUUGGGCAGCUGAUAGCUGGGUAACAGGAAGAUGAGGUGGACAGGACCAUCAACAAAAUAAUCAUAGAAGCAUAAUAACCUCUAAUAGACAGUUGGAACCAGAGCUGCAGAGAAUUACUGGGCCCAGAAUAUAUUUAUGAGCAAGUAAAUUGUGCUGCAUUGGAAAGUGAACACUAGAUCCACGUGAGAGAAAACAGUUCCUGAAAUGGAACUUGUUACUUGUGUAUAAUUCGGAUAUGUGCUACGCUACCAUACUGAGCUAUAAAUACAAAGUAGUCAGCCAGAAAUGUCAGGACCUCAGAAGCUUAAACAAAGGGGGGGGGGGGAGUAUCAAAGGAUCAAAUCUUCAAUUUUACAAACAGACAUGUUAUUUCUAACCUUUUUUUUUUUUGUUAAGCGUGGUGGAACAGUGUCCAUAUAUAUCAUCACUUCUUCCAAAUAAAUUCUGCAUGGGUUCAAUGUGUAAUGUCACAAUACCAGUCAAAAAUUUAACUUAAUUCUCACACAUAUUUACUAUGAUCAUUGACCCCCCAAGAGAAUAUUGGGCUGGAGCUACACUGACCAGGAUCUAAUCCCAGAUUGUUUGCUUUGAACUGGAUUAUAUGAGUCUCCACUGCCAGAUAAUCUGGGAUAAGCAGAAAGUCUGGGAUCAGAUCCUGGGAUAUAGCGCAAUAUAGAUCCAGCCAAUAGUUAUGGCAGCUAUCCUGUGCCAAGCAUAAGUCUAACUGAUGCAAAUGUACUAGAUGUACUCAGUAGUUGCAAAAAAAUUCCGCAUAUUUUUUAAAGAACAUCCAUGCUCAAAAAGCAUUCUCAUCAGAUCCCGUAAAGCCUUGGGGAAACAUGGAAUUACAGAAUAUUAUGGGAAUAACAGCCUGGGCACAUACGCCAACCACACAAGAAAGCCUUCGACAACACAUACAAGAAUAGUCUGGAGUCUAUGGUCCAAAGGAAAGCAUAGAUGGUGUUGGUGAUGAUUGUUGUUGUUGUUGUUGUUGUUACAUAUUAUUAUUAUUAUUAUUAUUAUUAUCAUUAUCUUUAUUUAUACCUCACCUUUCUCCCCAUAGGAACACAGCCAUAUGACAGCAAUUCCUUAUCAAUGGCACUGGCUUCCAGGCCUCUUCCAAGCCUAAGUUGUAGUUAAACUUUUAAGCCAUUGGUGAUUCUGGGGCAGACGAUUUCCAUAAGCAUCAUCCUAUUGUACCCACUGGUCACCUUCAAAGAUGCCAUACCACAGGUAUUUAAGUUGGUGGCUGCAAGAUAAAGAGGGCCUUCUCAUCUGUGGUACCCCCGUUAUGGAUUGCCUCCCACAAAGAAACUUGUCUGUAACCAAUACUGUUAUAAUUUCAUCAUAAUGUGGAGAUACUUCCUUUGUAUCAGGCAUUUUCAAUUUGUAUUAUAACACAGAAUUGUUAGUUCACAUUCUUUAGGCCUUUUAAAUAUUUAUUGUAUUAUUUACUGCAGUCUUUAACCCACUUCCUUAUGUAACCUGCCUUCAUGGCCCUUUGUUAUUUGGUGGUAAUAUUCUUUGCAAAUAUAAAGUUUUUAAAACAGUACUAGCUGGAAAAUGUGGUCUUUGUGGACAGUAGAUUUUUAAAGUAAGAAUCACCAGCUCUACAAAAAUUCAGCAAAGUACUACUCAAAACAAAAUUCAAAACCCAGCAAUUCACCUUCCUUCCUACAACCCAAUCAAUGUUGCUCGACCAUUUCAGGAAUCUUUACUGAACUGUUUUUUUCCAUGGGCAUGUUCAUCACUUUUAAAAAAGCAGAGCAUAUAGCAUACUUUAUCACCAGUCUGGGAGCAAACAAAUACAUGUGUGCCAUCCCUUAAUCAGGAAUGCCUAUAAAUAAUUUAAUCACAAACUCCUUUGUCACACUAUUUUCAUUUUUUUAAGAGACUGAUAAUAUUUAAAGAGUUGGCAGAAGUAUAAGAGGUAAGCCUGGCGGUUUCUAAAUGUUGCUAUCAGGGCCAUUGCCAGAAAACAAAUUCGGAGUGGGGAGGGGGUUGAAAUUAUUUUUAGCAAAUCAUGAAGAGUAGUUCAAUAAUGCAAAAUAAUUUAGAAAUCAGACUCCAUCGAUAAACUUCAGUGGACACUCAAGACAAAUAAACUUCAGUGGACACUGAAGACAGAUAAACUUCAGUGGAUACUCAUGGGGAUUUAGUUAAUAAACUGAAGUUUAUCUGUCAGGUUUUUUUAAAACCUGAAAAUUUUCAGGGUGGGUUUGAACCCCUAUCCCCCCCCCCCCCCCCUUGGCUACAGCCCUGGUUGGUGUCAGAUAGAUGUUGCAUGUUCUGAAGCCCUGCAGAAACUUACAAACUUGAUAAUCAAAGGUGAAUCUAGGAUAAAAACAAGCACCACGGUACUAAGCUCUUUCUACACUGCCCUAUACCCCUGGAUCUGAUCCCUGAUGAUUUUCUUAUCCCAGAGUAUAAGGCAGUGGAGACUCAUAUAAUCCAGUGCAAAGCAGAUAAUCUGGGAUCAGAUCCUGGGAUACAGGGCAGUGAAGAUCCAGCUAUAGUUUCCAACCACUUCAAAUGUUCUGGGAUGGGGGACUUUUUAUUUUCUUUUUUACAAAAUAUGAACAGGCAGCACUAAAAGCUAACACAAAUUAUGACUCAGACAGGCAAGAAAAACAACAUUUCCAGGAUGCUCGACCAAGAGCAGACCUAGAAAAAAUACAUUUCUUGGAAGAGGGGGUGAAAUUUAGCAGCAAGUUAGGCUGCCACAGAUUUCUUUAUAACAGAAUUGCAUUCACCCUUCCUGUUUAAAAGAAAAACAAAUACCCCAUGUAGUAUUAACACAGACUUUUUACCACCUACAGGGCCAAUGAGAGAAAAAUAGAAAUUCACACUAAAACCCACUAAAACCCACCCGCUGCCUCAGUCAAAGAAAGUAUGUAUUUAUUCUAGCCUGCCAAGUUUGGAAACUAAGAUACUUCUUGCUUCUAUCUAUCAUAGAAUCUCAGCAAUCAUCCACCUAUUCCCAGUGGAACACAUACUGAGCUCUUACAGAAGUCAACACCAUUUCCUAAUCACAGACAAGACUCACAGAUGAAAACUGACGUAAAUGUUUCCAAGCAACAUCAGAAUGUGUUCAGGAUGGUAAAUGUUAUUAAUGGCAACACACAAGCUGAGAGGGGAUAUAGCAGUUCACUUUUGCCUUCGUCUGUAGGGAGGGAUAAGAUUCAGCAGUUUCCUUUUCUCUCCCUCCUGCUGAGUUCACAGAGUUUAUAUUACUUUUGCACUUUGAGCUCAUCUUGAAUUUAUAAGCUGAGUACAAAGGGAGAAAGGGGGGGGGAGAAAUGAGAAACUGGGACAUUUUAAAAUCAGAUCAAAAGGUGGGAUGACAGAGGAUUAAUGAAGUCUGGCCCUGCUAAAUUAGGCCAGUUGUUGAGUGUACAAAACCCAUUGGAGGUGAUUCUUUAAAGUUGGUUCAAGACAAGGCCCUGUGCCCCAAAAUGGUGACAAGUGCUGUGACAUAGGAGAUGCUCCUCAUUAUAUCUACACUGCCAUAUAAAAUUCAGAUUAUCUUCAUUGAACUAGAUUAUAUGGCAGUGUAGAUGCAUAUAAUCCAGUUCAAAGCAAAUAAUGUGGAUUAUCUGCUUUGAUAAUAUGUGAGUGUACAAGGGACCUAAGGCAUUCCAUUCAUAUCUUUAUCUCAUCCCAAGUAGCCAAUACAUAACUAUGACUGCUUCUCUUUCUGAGGACAUCCCAACUUCUGUCUAACCUAUUCACACUAGUGAAACCAUGCAGAAGAAGGUAAUAACUACAUCUACCAAAGGGCUGUCAUAUAGGUUUGGCAGAAGAAAUUGAUGUGGUCAGUUUGGCGGUAGAAAUUUCUCUUUGACAAAUCCAGGUGGAAGAUACAAGUAAAGUGGAACUUAAAACAAACCAAAAAUGUUAUGAAGGAAAUGCAAGAUCUUUUUGUGGUUGGUUAAAUUGGUGCUAGGGAGUUACUUUAUUUUGAAAGGGGUUCCCUUGCCAGAAAACGCAGAAUGCCAAAAACCACCUCAGUAAUCUAGCAAUCUGUAACCAUUGCAGUUUCCUAUGGUUGUACAUAUCUACCCAUAUGUACAUAUUUAGUUUAAAACAUUUACAGAAUUUGGAAGAAAUAUUUCUUGAAUACUGUUCCAAGAAUCUUCAAGCCCUAUUCAUGGUGGUUGGAGGGUUUUGGGAGAUGGAAACUAGAGAAAGAGAUUUCUCGUUCUGAAACAGGAUAAAAAAACCAGAAUCCAAACAGUAAAGUGGUUGAUUCAUUCUCACCAUCCAUUCACCACAUGCAACAUUUUGGCUUUGGGUUCUCAAAUUGCAUAAAUGGACUCUUUUCUUUGAGUCUCAGGCUGGAUCUGCACUGCCCUAUAUCCCAGGAUCUGAUCCCAGAUUAUGUGCUUUGAACAGGAUUAUAUAAGUCUACACUACAAGAUAAUCUGGGAUAAGAGAAUAAUCUGGAAUCAGAUCCU